GCAGAGAGGCGGAGAGGCAGAGAGGCGGAGCCGCCAUCUCUCAAACUGGGUCAGUAGCACAAGCGACCGACUUAGCUUCAUGCUAACUGUUAGCUCGCCGGUAGGUUUUUCCUCCACUCGGGCAGCUCCUUCUCCUUCUGCUUCUCUCCUUCUCUAAUGUAACCGAGUGAUUUGAAUAUGUGAAAACGUCCGGCCUUCAAACAGUAACGUUAAUAUAAACAUAUAUAUAUAUAACGUUAAUUAGCGUCUUGACAUUAGCUAACUUAGCUCGCCGGUUAAGUUAACGUUGCGUCUUAGUGAAGAUAUUUAAGUAUUAGCUCACGAGCUUUUUAACCUUCACUGGUUUUAAACGACGUUUUGUACUGAAUCUUACCGUUAGACGACAUUUCGAUGAAACGGCCUUUAACCUAUAAAGCAAUUGAUCAACCAGCGCGUUGUUUACGGACUGAGAUGGAUGAAGGGACACCGGGGACCGGGGCAGCUGUCACAGCCCGGUUACUGCAGUUCCUCCUGCGGACACAAGGGGGCGGGCAGCAGCGUAGCUCCUCUUCUUCUCUUCCGGCAGGCUCGGCACUGUUUAGCGCAUUGCUGCCUCCCACCGGUUUAGUAUCAACAAUGCUACUUUUUACUUUCAUGCUUCCUGGGAAUGCCUAAAGAUUGUGCAAUUUUGGAGUGAUCUUAAAAUGAGAAUUGAUGGUUUUCUCGCUUGCAAGUCAACAUUAAACCCAGGCAUUUGUAUUUUAGGAUUAGGAUAUAGCCUAUAGAGUGACUGCUGGGUCUGCACACAUCUAACGUCACCUAAACUCCAUAAUACAAGUUUAUGUUCCCUCUUGGCCACACAAAGCAAUCCCAGUCCCAGCUGUUCUCAUCUUUGUCAACGAGCUACCACGUGCCAUCAGAGCAGGGGCUUCAAGAAGCUCCUGAAAACUCUUCAGAGAACACUUCCUCUCAUAACACCUCCAAACUCUAACAUGCACUUCCUGUGCCGCUCUUCUUCUUAUAGUUCUCUUGUAUUGAUUGCACUAUUCAUUAACUACUUCCCCUACUUCUUCUUCCCUUAAGUAUUUACCCGUUGAUGCUGUACGCGCUAAUAGCUCUUACAAGUAUUGUCACUUGUAGAUCUCCUGCUGUAUUGAUGCUCUGUUAAUGCUUGUAUGUUGUUCCUGAAAUGAGAUUUGCUUUAGAUAAAAGCGUGUGCCAAAUAAGUAAAUGUAGAUGACACAACAAAGCAGGCUGUCAGCAGGUACAAGGAUAUAUUGAGAAUCUGCUGGUACGCUGGAAGGUUAAGUCUUCUCCAGAUGUGGGUUGCUGAGGAGCCCCCGGAUGUGUCACUUUGCUUUGAAAAACUCCUGAAUGAAAUCCCUCUUGAAAGUUCAGGUAAGAAAAGAAACCCUCAGAAGCUUUGGCUGAGGUGUAGACGUGACCAGUCGGAUGGACAGUGACCAGAGGUUGGCCCACCGUGGUUGGCCGUGUCAAAGUAAAGCAAAGACCUCCAGGCCGAGGCAUCUGCAUCAGAGCACCCUAAACUUGGGCGACACAGCACCCUGCUACACCACCACCCACACCCAGAGUUAUUCUGGAAGGUCAGCUGACGGACGUCCUCUCGUCUUCCACCUGAGGGAUCCCAGCUUCCCCUCACAGCAUCAGACCAGGCUGGAUCUCAGUAACAGCACCACAGAGCUGCAGGGCCCCCUGCAGUCACACAGUAAAGAGGUGCACGGGCCCAAACACAUCACUCCGGUACGGUUACAGCGUCUGGAAAACAUCCCUCCAUGCAUCCCUUUAAUGUGUUGUUAUGGUUUUAGGCAGCUCUUGAGUUGUUUAAAAGUGUUUUAUUUAGGUUCUUUCUGUGGUGAAAUAUUUGAUAUGAUUAGCGUAUCUGAUUUAUUUUUUGUUUUUUGUCUCCAACUAACUGGGAGAUUACUGAAUCAUCUUCACAAGAGGGCUUGAUCUCUCUUACCAAGAUGUAACAGGAAUAGAGGACCGACCUGAAGGUGGAAAACUGGGCCCGGUAUCUUAGUGGCCUGGCCGUCAGAGAGAUCACCAAUCCACGGGAUCCAUCUGAGUACUGGACCACCUACAAAACAGAGCACACGCUCCCAGUAACCGACGGUCCGGCACAUCUGGCUGGCGGCAAACCAACACAGUGGCACCAACACAACAUACUGACGGUUGAGCAGAGGCCGACACCUGGUCCAGGGAAGCCCAGCAGACGGUCCAGAGACAAGCUGCUGUGGGCAGCGAGACGCCGGGAGACAGACUGCACUGCACUCAGACUCUACUGACAUAACAACAACUACACACAGCACUGACCAACAGGAAACUACUGACCAACACUCCUCCAUUAAAUGUAUUAAUAAUUCAUGA